UUGCUGCUUCGCUGACGAGUGGCGGACGGGUGAGUAAUGUCUGGGAAACUGCCUGAUGGAGAGGGAUAACUACUGGAAACGGUAGCUAAUACCGCAUAACGUCGCAAGACCAAAGAGGGGGACCUUCGGGCCUCUUGCCAUCGGAUGUGCCCAGAUGGGAUUAGCUAGUAGGUGGGGUAACGGCUCACCUAGGCGACGAUCCCUAGCUGGUCUGAGAGGAUGACCAGCCACACUGGAACUGAGACACGGUCCAGACUCCUACGGGAGGCAGCAGUGGGGAAUAUUGCACAAUGGGCGCAAGCCUGAUGCAGCCAUGCCGCGUGUAUGAAGAAGGCCUUCGGGUUGUAAAGUACUUUCAGCGGGGAGGAAGGCGAUAAGGUUAAUAACCUUGUCGAUUGACGUUACCCGCAGAAGAAGCACCGGCUAACUCCGUGCCAGCAGCCGCGGUAAUACGGAGGGUGCAAGCGUUAAUCGGAAUUACUGGGCGUAAAGCGCACGCAGGCGGUCUGUCAAGUCGGAUGUGAAAUCCCCGGGCUCAACCUGGGAACUGCAUUCGAAACUGGCAGGCUAGAGUCUUGUAGAGGGGGGUAGAAUUCCAGGUGUAGCGGUGAAAUGCGUAGAGAUCUGGAGGAAUACCGGUGGCGAAGGCGGCCCCCUGGACAAAGACUGACGCUCAGGUGCGAAAGCGUGGGGAGCAAACAGGACUAGAUACCCUGGUAGUCCACGCCGUAAACGAUGUCGACUUGGAGGUUGUGCCCUUGAGGCGUGGCUUCCGGAGCUAACGCGUUAAGUCGACCGCCU
rnacentral:rRNA from 1 species